ACGGAUUAUUCUUUAUAGCUUGCUAUAAGGAAUAGUUAGUGGCAGACGGGUGAGUAAUGCAUAGGAAUCUACCUAGUAGUAUGGGAUAGCCACUAGAAAUGGUGGGUAAUACUGUAUAAUCCCUGCGGGGGAAAGAUUUAUCGCUAUUAGAUGAGCCUAUGUUAGAUUAGCUAGUUGGUAGGGUAAAGGCCUACCAAGGCGAUGAUCUAUAGCUGGUCUGAGAGGAUGAUCAGCCACACUGGAACUGAGAUACGGUCCAGACUCCUACGGGAGGCAGCAGUGGGGAAUAUUGGACAAUGGGCGCAAGCCUGAUCCAGCUAUGCCGCGUGAGUGAGGAAGGCCUUAGGGUUGUAAAACUCUUUCAGUAGGGAAGAUAAUGACGGUACCUACAGAAGAAGUCCCGGCAAACUC
rnacentral:rRNA from 1 species